CAGCCGCCACGGUAAUACAGAGGGUGCGAGCGUUAAUCGGAUUUACUGGGCGUAAAGCGUGCGUAGGCGGCUUCUUAAGUCGGAUGUGAAAUCCCUGAGCUUAACUUAGGAAUUGCAUUCGAUACUGGGAAGCUAGAGUAUGGGAGAGGAUGGUAGAAUUCCAGGUGUAGCGGUGAAAUGCGUAGAGAUCUGGAGGAAUACCGAUGGCGAAGGCAGCCAUCUGGCCUAAUACUGACGCUGAGGUACGAAAGCAUGGGGAGCAAACAGGAUUAGAUACCCCCAGUAGUCCCUGUCUCUUAUA
rnacentral:rRNA from 1 species